GGAGAUGUAGUUCAAUGGCACAGCACCUGCCUGGUAAGCACGAGGUCCUGAGUUCAAUUCCCAGUACCA
rnacentral:tRNA from 1 species